rnacentral:rRNA from 1 species
GCGGCACGCUUCAUACAUGCAAGUCGAGGGGCAGCAUAAAGUACUUGUACUUUGAUGGCGACCGGCGAACGGGUGCGUAACGCGUAUGCAACUUACCUUUUACUAGAGAAUAGCCAAGAGAAAUUUUGAUUAAUGCUCUAUACUCUUAAUAACUCACAUGAGUUUUUAAGAAAAGCUCCGGCGGUAAAAGAUGGGCAUGCGUCCUAUUAGCUUGUAGGUGAGGUAACGGCUCACCUAAGCUCCGAUAGGUAGGGGUCCUGAGAGGGAGAUCCCCCACACUGGUACUGAGACACGGACCAGACUUCUACGGAAGGCAGCAGUAAGGAAUAUUGGACAAUGGAGGCAACUCUGAUCCAGCGAUGCCGCGUGAAGGAAGACGGCCCUAUGGGUUGUAAACUUCUUUUAUACAGGAAGAAACCUUUCCACGUGUGGAAAGCUGACGGUACUGUAAGAAUAAGGAUCGGCUAACUCCGUGCCAGCAGCCGCGGUAAUACGGAGGAUCCAAGCGUUAUCCGGAAUUAUUGGGUUUAAAGGGUCCGCAGGCUGUUUGUUAAGUCAGGGGUGAAAUCCUACCGCUCAACGGUAGAACUGCCUUUGAUACUGGCAAACUUGAGUUAUUGUGAAGUAGUUAGAAUGUGUAGUGUAGCGGUGAAAUGCAUAGAUAUUACACAGAAUACCGAUUGCGAAAGCAGAUUACUAACAAUAUACUGACGCUGAGGGACGAAAGCGUGGGUAGCGAACAGGAUUAGAUACCCUGGUAGUCCACGCCGUAAACGAUGGUCACUAGCUGUUUGAUGUACAUUGGUACAUUGAGUGGCUAAGCGAAAGUGAUAAGUGACCCACCUGGGGAGUACGC